CUUUGACCUCAAAUCAGGUAGGACUACCCGCUGAACUUAAGCAUAUCAAUAAGCGGAGGAAAAGAAACCAACAGGGAUUGCCUCAGUAGCGGCGAGUGAAGCGGCAAAAGCUCAAAUUUGAAAUCUGGCGUCUUUGGCGUCCGAGUUGUAAUUUGAAGAAGGUAUCUUUGGGCCCGGCUCUUGUCUAUGUUCCUUGGAACAGGACGUCACAGAGGGUGAGAAUCCCGUGCGAUGAGAUGACCCGGGUCUGUGUAAAGUUCCUUCGACGAGUCGAGUUGUUUGGGAAAUGCA
rnacentral:rRNA from 1 species